UGGCGGAGAAGUGGAAAGUGGAGAUGGAGGACCGCAAGGCUGCUAAAGUCCUGGAGGAACGGAUACAUGAGGAAUUCAAGAGGAAAGAGGAAGAAGAGAGGAGGCGAGGGGAAGAACAGAUUCGACUCCAAGAGGAACAGAGGGCAAAGGAACUCUACUGGACCCUGAAGCAGGCCCAGUUACACUGCCAAGACAGUGAGAACGAGGAGCGUGAAUGGGAAGAACAGCGUGAGUUGAGUUGUGUCUUCUUCCUGGAGGCCUGCUCUACUUUCCCCAUCAGCUCCUCCUACUGUGCAUGUGACUUGUCAUCAAUUCAGUCUCUUCCUUACCACACGAGGCUAGACCCAUGUGCAUGGUCCUGCUGGGAUAAAGACUCACACUCAGGAGCUUAUGUGCCUGCCCUGGAGAUGUCAAACAUUGAAGAAUGAAACAUAUAACUGAGUUGCCAAUAA
rnacentral:lncRNA from 1 species